rnacentral:tRNA from 1 species
GGGGUUGUGGCUCAGUGGCAGAGUACUUGCCUCGUACAUGUAAGCCAGUGGGUUCAAUCCCCAGCACCA